GGGGUUGUAGCUCAAUGGUAGAGUGCUUGCCUCACAUAUAUGAGUCACUGGGUUCAAUUCUCAGCAUCACAU
rfam:Ictidomys tridecemlineatus contig035533, whole genome shotgun sequence.